AUUCCAGCUCCAAUAGCGUAUAUUAAAGUUGUUGCAGUUAAAAAGCUCGUAGUUGGAUUUCUGGGUUAGGAACUUGGUCGGCUGCAGCUAUGCAGUUAGUACCAGGUUUCCUUGCCCAUCCUUCUAGAAAUUGGCUCUGUGCUUCAUUGCAUUCGGGUCAGGAUCUAGAUCUUUUACUUUGAAAAAAUUAGAGUGUUUAAAGCAGGCUUUGCUGUGAAUACAUUAGCAUGGAAUAAUAACUUAGGACUUUGGUUCUAUUUUGUUGGUUUCUAGGGCCGAAGUAAUGAUUGAUAGGGAUAGUUGGGGGUGCUAGUAUUCAGCGGCCAGAGGUGAAAUUCACGGAUUUGCUGAAGACUAACUUAUGCGAAAGCAUUCACCAAGGAUGUCUUCAUUA
rnacentral:rRNA from 1 species